GAUGAACGCUGGCGGCGUGCUUAACACAUGCAAGUCGAACGGUGAAGCAGGAGCUUGCUCCUGUGGAUCAGUGGCGAACGAGUGAGUAACACGUGAGCAAUCUGCCCUGGACUCUGGGAUAAGCGUUGGAAACGACGUCUAAUACCGGAUACGAGGCGUGGGGGCAUCCCCAACGCCUGGAAAGAACUUCGGUCCAGGAUGAGCUCGCGGCCUAUCAGGUAGUUGGUGAGGUAACGGCUCACCAAGCCUACGACGGGUAGCCGGCCUGAGAGGGUGACCGGCCACACUGGGACUGAGACACGGCCCAGACUCCUACGGGAGGCAGCAGUGGGGAAUAUUGCACAAUGGGCGCAAGCCUGAUGCAGCAACGCCGCGUGAGGGACGACGGCCUUCGGGUUGUAAACCUCUUUUAGCAGGGAAGAAGCGAAAGUGACGGUACCUGCAGAAAAAGCACCGGCUAACUACGUGCCAGCAGCCGCGGUAAAAC
rnacentral:rRNA from 1 species